rnacentral:rRNA from 1 species
GACGAACGCUGGCGGCGUGCUUAACACAUGCAAGUCGAACGAAGUGGCGAACGGGUGAGUAACGCGUAAUCAACCUGCCCUUCAGAGGGGGACAACAGUUGGAAACGACUGCUAAUACCGCAUACUGAAGGUGGGGAUUGCGUUUGAUUAGCUAGUUGGAGGGGGAACGGCCCACCAAGGCGAUGAUCAGUAGCCGGUCUGGUAGGAUGAACUGCCACAAUGGGCCUGAGACACGGCCCAGACUCCUACGGGAGGCAGCAGUGGGGAAUCGUCCGGAAUGGACGAAAGUCUGACGGAGCAACGCCGCGUGAGUGAUGACGGCCUUCGGGUUGUAAAGCUCUGUUAAUCGGGACGCGGUACCGGAAUAGAAAGCCACGGCUAACUACGUGCCAGCAGCCGCGGUAAUAC